AGAGUUUGAUCAUGGCUCAGAUUGAACGCUGGCGGCAGGCUUAACACAUGCAAGUCGAACGGUAACAGGAAGAAAGCUUGCUUUCUUUGCUGACGAGUGGCGGACGGGUGAGUAAUGCUUGGGAAUCUGGCUUAUGGAGGGGGAUAACUACGGGAAACUGCAGCUAAUACCGCGUAGUAUCGGAAGAUGAAAGUGUGGGACCGCAAGGCCACAUGCCAUAAGAUGAGCCCAAGUGGGAUUAGGUAGUUGGUUAGGUAAAGGCUGACCAAGCCGACGAUCUCUAGCUGGUCUGAGAGGAUGACCAGCCACACUGGAACUGAGACACGGUCCAGACUCCUACGGGAGGCAGCAGUGGGGAAUAUUGCACAAUGGGGGGAACCCUGAUGCAGCCAUGCCGCGUGAAUGAAGAAGGCCUUCGGGUUGUAAAGUUCUUUCGGUGAUGAGGAAGGUGUUUGUUUGAAUAGGACAAGCAAUUGACGUUAGUCACAGAAGAAGCACCGGCUAACUCCGUGCCAGCAGCCGCGGUAAUACGGAGGGUGCGAGCGUUAAUCGGAAUAACUGGGCGUAAAGGGCACGCAGGCGGUGACUUAAGUGAGAUGUGAAAGCCCCGGGCUUAACCUGGGAAUUGCAUUUCAUACUGGGUCGCUAGAGUACUUUAGGGAGGGGUAGAAUUCCACGUGUAGCGGUGAAAUGCGUAGAGAUGUGGAGGAAUACCGAAGGCGAAGGCAGCCCCUUGGGAAUGUACUGACGCUCAUGUGCGAAAGCGUGGGGAGCAAACAGGAUUAGAUACCCUGGUAGUCCACGCUGUAAACGCUGUCGAUUUGGGGAUUGGGCUUUGAGCUUGGUGCCCGUAGCU
rnacentral:rRNA from 1 species